CAAGUCGAACGAGAAAGGGGAGCAAUCCCUGAGUACAGUGGCGUACGGGUGAGUAACACGUGGAUAAUCUACCUCCUAGUGGGGAAUAACCCUGGGAAACCGGGGCUAAUACCGCAUGAUCUCGAGAGAGGAAAGCAGCAAUGCGCUGGGAGAGGAGUCCGCGGCCGAUUAGCUAGUUGGCAGGGUAAAAGCCUACCAAGGCAACGAUCGGUAGCCGGCCUGAGAGGGCACACGGCCACACUGGCACUGAAACACGGGCCAGACUCCUACGGGAGGCAGCAGUGGGGAAUCUUGCACAAUGGGGGCAACCCUGAUGCAGCGACGCCGCGUGAGCGAUGAAGCCCUUCGGGGUGUAAAGCUCUUUCGGCAGGGAAGAUAGUGACGGUACCUGCAGAAGCAGCUGCGGCUAACUACGUGCCAGCAGCCGCGGUAAUACGUAGGCAGCGAGCGUUGUUCGGAGUUACUGGGCGUAAAGGGUGUGUAGGCGGUUGUUUAAGUUUGGUGUGAAAUCUCCCGGCUCAACUGGGAGGGUGCGCCGAAUACUGAAUGACUAGAGUGUGGGAGAGGAAAGUGGAAUUCCUGGUGUAGCGGUGAAAUGCGUAGAUAUCAGGAGGAACACCGGUGGGUGUAGACGGCUUUCUGGACCAUAACUGACGCUGAGACACGAAAGCGUGGGUAGCAAACAGGAUUAGAUACCCUGGUAGUCCACGCCCUAAACGAUGCAUAUUUGGUGUGGGCAGUUCAUUCUGUCCGUGCCGGAGCUAACGCGUUAAAUAUGCCGCCUGGGGAGUACAGUCGCAAGGCUGAAACUCAAAGGAAUUGACGGGGGCCCGCACAAGCGGUGGAGCAUGUGGUUCAAUUCGACGCAACGCGAAGAACCUUACCUGGGCUC
rnacentral:rRNA from 1 species